rnacentral:lncRNA from 1 species
GGCGAACCGACCAAGAGGUCGUCGACUGUAAGUAAGCACAAGAACUGACCACUCAGGUCAACUAGGAUGGAACAAUUCAACAUUCUCUCAAAAGUAUGCAAAUACUGCUCGAUGGGUCAACUAAAGUGUAAAUGCAAGAACCGACCUCAUAGGUCAUCAAACGACAAGAGUCACGAACUGAUUGACUAGAUCACAUGCAUGCCAAAGAACCGAUCGAAUGGGUUAUAGUUACGACAUACAUGAACCGACCAACCAGGUCACUGAUAUGAAGUACGAGAACUGACCAACCAGGUCACUGAUACGAAGUACGAGAAUCGAUACGAAGUACGAGAAUCGAUCAACCAGGUCACAGGUAUCACAUAUAAAUAAACUACUCUACCCCUACACAUGAUACUAAGUAUGGAAACAUGUGAGUACAGUGUAUGGAACAAUAUCGGUGCAAGGCUCAAUAUAUAUAUGCAAUGAUAACCACGAAAGAGUAAGGGUAAGAAACCAUCACCGAGCGUGCACUAAUGUACCGACUUCGAAUCGAAGUACCCACCUGUAAGAAUGUCGCACCUGUCUCCUGACUACAAAAGAACAUCAACUGGACCUAAGGAAGGUCCACCGGGUUAGAAUCUAACCCACUAACACAAAUCGCUAACACACAAUCCCCACUCAUAGCCCCACAGGAAUCGAUUUCCCAAAACCGAUUGCCGAACAUGUCGGACGUCCCGAAAAACGCAUCGGGACUCCGCCGGGACCCACUAGCUGUCCCGGAAGGCACCGACUCAUGACACGAGUCAUUCGCUGCCACUAAACACUUAUUUUAGUGUGACAUGGCAGCAAAAACACUAACUCGAUGCGGAACGAUUAUCGUCAGAUAAUCAUUCCGAUUCGGGUUUCCGGAAGUGUCAAUUUCGACACCAGAACCCACAAUCGCUCACCCGUCGUUUCCGAACCCUUGAAACGACGCGGGUGACCAGCCAACAAGGCUCAGCGACGUCGCAAAUAAUCACCAAGCACCAUCGGAAGAAUUCCGAACCAAACCCGUGUUACGUCGGCGGAUUUUGCCGAAAAACGCGCCGUAAAUCGCUUUCCAACUUUCGCAAAGGCCUGGGGCCUUGGACAAUCAGUCCAGAGGUUACCUACUGCCCGUACACGCUGCCCACAGCGACCAAGACAAAUAAAAUUGCAUAAAAGCCCUCCAGAUUACCCGAAAUCGCAUUAUUUUAUGUGUUUUCGGCACUUUUAUGGUCCAUGUGGACAAACUAGAAGUCAAUCAGCCAAACCAAGACAAUGUUGACAAGUCUCGGCGUGCCGGAGGCCGUGCUCACCUUUCGGAGCACUGCCGGCCACUGUGGCACGCGCACGAGCGACGCGAAAAUCUGCAAAACUGCGCGUACAACAGGAAAAACAUGCUUAUCUCGCUAACCAAGGGCUCGCUAACCCUAAAUGAGGUGAGCACUAUGAUGAGAACUGACUGACGAUCACCGUGCUCACCUCCGGAGGCAUCGGAACAGCCACGAGUCGCCUGAACAGUGACCAAAAUAGGAAACAUUGCGCAAACAGCUGACAAAAAACUUACAGAGCUUGUUGGAGCUAGGGCACGGCCGGCGGCGGCCGGACGGCGGGGGCGCCGGCGGCAGGAGGGUUCAUACGAUGCAGGGAGGCCAAGUCGCACCUCAGUCGGCAGUGGGAGGCAGCGGAGGUGGCGGCAUUUGAUGCCCUAGUCCCACUGACCCGAGGAGAGCAUGGGUCGAGUCACGCCGACAUGGAGCUCCGGCAGUGGGGCGCCGGUGGAGGGUGAGUGCGGCCGGCCAGGCAGAGCCGGUGCUCAUGCCGGCCGGCGGCGGAAGGCGGCGACGGCGGUGCUGGGUGUGGCUCGGCCUACACAAAGCCCAACCAGGCAGAACCGCAUCAGACGGCAGCGCGGACAGCCGGGGGAGACCUCGGGGCGGCGACGGCUGGUCGCAAGAGACCGAGUGAGGGUGACGCGCCUGCCAGUGGGUGGCAGUGGCGUGCGGAGGCCAAGCUGGCCUCGGCUCGGCCCGCGCAGACCCUGUGCGGCCGUAGGGAGAGGGAGCGGCGGCCGGCGGCCACGGGGACGGCGGCGAUGGUGCGUGGGAGGUCGCCGGAGGCCAACGGGACGCGGCGAGGCCAGAUUCAGCUGGCGGCAGCCCACGGGCCUCGAGUGUAAGGUACCGGACUUCUAAAACUGUGAAGUUACGGUGUGCAUUUAAAUGGUUCCGGUGAGGUUGCGGUGGAAUGUAACAUAUCGGAUUUUAAAUAUAAAAAUAAAAAUAAAUAAAAAUAGUAUGAGAUACUAUUUUUAUUGGAUUUAGAGAAGUAAAAUAUAAGUUGGGAAUGACCUGUACUGAAAUCAGAGCGAAAACAGAUGAUUUAGAAUUUUCUGUAAGAAACGGGGCAGAUAAAUUAGCAGAAAAUGCACAGUGUCAGAAAAUUAUGAAAAUUGGCGGAGAUGUCAGAAAUAUUUUUAUGAGGCUAGAUUUAAAGUUUCAUAUUUUUCUGACACCCGUAGAGAGAGAAAUCGAAUCCGAAAGCUAUCUGAUAAAGAUUGCAGUUCGGUACAGUUUUCAGUGACCAAACGGGGUCGAAACUGAAAUAUUAAAAUUUCUUUGGACUUAUUAAGUGAAACCGAACAUGCCUGUCAAAUUUGAGAUCAAACGGACAUCCGGAAGGGCUCCAACGAAAUUUAUCAGAUUUCAAGCUGCCUGGAGUGAAUAGUGCCUUGGGGUGCAUUAUAAAGAAGCUGAUGCUUCUUCUUCUUUCUCCUUCAGCCCGAGCACACACCCACGCACGCAUGGAGUAGAGAGAGAAACACCUCCACCUCUCUCUAGAUAUCUCUCUCAUCUCUCUAAAUCUCUCUCUAAAAAUUGGAGGGUUGGUGGAGAAGAUGCUUGCGAACGCGUUGGAGGCGACGGAUCGGGCUUUCGUGCGGCCGUUGGAGCGGUGUGUUGUCGUCGCGGCGUUCACAUUGAGGUAAACUUUUAGGAUUUGGCUUAAUCCUUAGUUUUAAGUGUUCUAAUAGCCUCUAAUGAGCAUUCUAAACAUGUUUGCUCUAUUUGAUUUGGAUUAUUUAGAGAUUAAUUCAUAUUAGGGCUCAAAAAUGCAAACUUUCAAAAUAUGAGGGUUUGAUCUCAUUUGACCCUUCAUAAACCUAAUUGCUAGGUAACGAAACGCGUUGGCGAAGACGGAUCGGCAAUCCGACGAGCCGUUACAAAGUUAUUAAAGAAACGGACGUUUAGGCUUCGGGUCCGCCGGGAGGGCCGAGGCGACGUCGUAAAAUCAUGGAAAUGGAUUUGAAGCACCGUGGCACGUAACCGAGGACCUAUAAUUUUCGGGGCUGCGAAGCGGAGCACGGUUGAGGCGCAGUUGCGAUAUCGGGCCGUGCCGGAUACGGGUGCCGCGGGAGGCCGAUUGCAAGUGUCGACAAGCAAUCGGAACGCGUGUUAAGGUGGGUUGUGCUUACCGAAGCGACUAGGUCGCCCUUUAUGUCUAAGAGAAAUGUAAAUUCAUAUUGAUGCAUAUAAAUGGUAGAUGAAUGCAAGAGUUAAAUGCUAGGCGAAUGCAUGUUAAUUGCUAUGCUACGACUACCAUAGAAUGCAUGAUGAACAUAUUAUAGAAAUGCUAAAUAAUGCAUGUGAGCAUAUGGUAAAGAAUGCAUGUUAAUGACAUAAUGUAAAUAUGCUUGUUAAUACAUGUAUGAUGACAUGAUGAGAAUAUGCUAGAUUACAUGCAUAUUAACAUGUUGUAGAUCAUGUGAGAAAGAUUAUGCAUGUUGGCAUCACAUAAUGCAUGCUAGAUAAAAUGUUGAUAGUUAUGGAACUCGACAUGGGCAAUUAGGAUGUCAAAUAGAUCGAGUGGCACUUAACCUAGUGUAUAAAACAUAGGUUGGACAUGAAUGACAAUGAACCUAGUGUAUAAAACAUAGGUUGGACAUGAAUGACAAUGAACCUAGUGUUAUUGAGCAUAGGUCGAGUGGCAUCUAACCUAGUGCUAAAGAACAUAGGUUAUGGAUUGAACCUAGAGUUAAGUAAACCUAGGUUAUGUGAUAGAGACGUUGAACCUAGAGUCAGUUGGACCUAGGGUGAAAAGGACGUUGGACCUAGAUAGGUCAAUACUAUAGGGUUUGAAACCAACCCUUGAGUUAUGAAAUGGAUUCCGGAAUCCCUAGUGAUGUGGCCGCACAUGGAGCGAUGGAAAUUGUGGUAAAAGAGAUGGCAAGUGAAUCCUAACUGCAGGUAUGUGUGGUUCUCCUCGCCUGGCAGUGAUUCAACGGGUAUGUGUGGUUCUCCUCGCCCGGGAUGCCAUGAGAAUAAGCUGGAAUUGGGUAUGUGUGGUUCUCCUCGCCCAUUAGCUUAUCGGAUGAUGCCGCCUAGGUUGACUUGAACCAUUGUUGGGUGAGAGCGAUGUGGUCGCUGCUAGAUGACUAAGUUAUGACUUGAACCAUUGUUGGGUGAGGUGCGAUGAGUUCGCCGCCAGAUGGCUAAGUCAUGACUUGAGUUGUUGUUGGGUGAGAGCGAUGAGUUCGCCGCCAGAUGGUUAAGUCAGAUCUGCGGUAGGCUGCGAUGGCAGCCAGUGCGCGGACUAUCCGCGGAUGAUUGACUCGAGGCCGAGUCGGGUGGUUAGCUUGAGUAGGUUAAUGAGAACCUUAUAAGCUAGUGAUCGAGGCAAGAACCUGAGGUAAUAGAGACCUCAGAAGCAAGUUGAACUUGAGUUGAGAACAUAAGGUAAUGGAAACCUUACAAUUGAAUGAAAUGACCUAAAGUAGCAAGGUAAAUGUAGAAUUAACAUAUCUACUAGUUGUUUAUGCAGUUGCAUAGUUGCAUAAUGUUCAUAUUGCAUUUGCGACGCCUAGGACGUACAGGGAAAACUCUGUCCGUUCGGCGGUCUGUCGACGCGCCCGAACUCGGCCAAAUAGGCGGGGCUCGGGGCGUGACAGAUAAAGUGGUAUCAGAGCAUAAAGUAGAGAGUGGGCAAUGGUUUAGAUGGACCUAGGAGACCCUAGGAUAGUAAACCAUAGGAGAAUAAGGCUCGUGAGAGACGAGGACUUGUGACUUAUGGCGAAAGGUUCAUUGAUUGAGUUUUGUUGAAACCUCUAUGACGGAUAUUAGAGGUAGACUCGAGGUGUGGUUUAUUCUCAACCGAGGGUGUUCAUGUUGGGUGCACACAACAUGAAACUGAGUGAUGAGAAUAGACGGCCUUGCGUGACUUUCGCCCGAUUUGAGUCAAUGUUAAAUUGUCUCGUGCUUGACCCAGAGGGUUGAGAAUUAAUUGAGUUGUCGUAUUUCAGGGAACGAUGGCACCGCGUAGGCGACCUUCGUCUAGAUCUACGCGGGAUGGGACAAGUGAUGUCCCUGAGCAAUCCGAGGCGAGCGGAGACCCGGUGCUCCGCGAGCAAAUGAGUAGGCUCAUGGGCGUAGUGCUGCGACAGGAGGAGCAGAUCAAGGAGCUCCAUGAGUUGUUGGCACGACAGACUGCGGCGGCUGCGCCGGUAGCAGCGCGCCGUGUACCGGCAGGAGUGGCGAUGGAUUCAGGGGUAGUGGCCUCUGAUUCUGUAGAAAUGGAGGCGGAGAAAGAGCGAGCUUUGACGGCCCUAAUGACCUUCAAGAAGUUUGAUUAGCCUGUUUUCGAUGGAGAGAAUGUUGAUCCAUGGAUCGUGGAGAUGUGGAUUGACGCUAUGGAAACGCUCUUUGAGGAGUUGUACACCUUGGAGCGGGACGAGGUGCCCCUAGCUGUGCAUUGCUUGAAGCAGUCGGCAAAGGUGUGGUGGAAAGGCAUUCGACGAAAUCGAUCGCCUAGUCUCCCUCCUAUGGCAUGGGAUGAGUUUCGGGGAUUGGUGUUUUCGACUUACUUUCCCGACACUGAAAAGAGAAAGCUCCAGGACAGGUUCAGAAAGCUGCAGCAAGGAGACCGCUCUGUGAGAGAAUACGAACGGGAGUUCUCUCGUAUCGUGAAUUGCGUCCCGGAUGUGGUAAGGGAUGACAAGGAUAUGGCCGAUUGGUUCCUGCAUGGACUUCGACCGGAGAUUUACGAGAGGGUGCAAAUCCUUAGGCUCACGACCUUCACGGAGGUGUUGGAUCGAACGUUGUUUGCAGAGCACGGUGAUGCUUUCGUGCGCGAGAAGCACGAGUCUUCUGAGCGUCAGUGGGGAGGGGUGAAGCCACUAUCGAGAGAUUCGGGUGGACAAUCAAGUUCCAGGCGCCACUCGAAGUCGUCCUCUAGCCGAUCCUCCCCAGGAUGCGUGAUUUGUGGUGGUUCCCACUGGGCUCGGCGGUGUGUGCUGCGCGAUGGUAGAUGCCUUCGUUGCGGGCAGCCGGGCCAUGUACGGGACGAGUGUCCGCAAGGGUAUAAUCAGACCCUGACACGGACGACGGCCUUUUCCUCCCCAGGACAGCCUGCAGGUGUGCUACCUGCGGCAUGGUCGGAAACGCGACCGUUGAGGAUGAUGCCACCGAGGGGCUCGCGGCGAGCAGCGGGUGACCGUGGAUACGCGACCCAGGUGGAGGAACCUACUACUGCUGACACUGUCAUGGCAGGUACGAGUUAAUUAAGCAAGCAUAUGCUUCUACAUAAUAUUGGACUGUUGCAUAGCAUGCAUUUAUCAUAUGGUCAGCAGCUACUAUUUACAUAUUGUAUAGUAGGGACCGAGUGGUCGGGUAGGUAGACACCCGAGCAUGCUUGCGUCGUGAGAGUGUAGCGCCUGCUCGAGCAGGUAGAGAGCCAUGUAGCACUAACAAAUUGUUAGUGAUGGUUCCUAGACAAGAAAUGAGACUCGCGGUGAACGUGAAACGGUGGCGCGGCUCUCAAAGCAAUGAGAACCAGAUUGCGAGAGUUGCGCCGUGACGUUGAGGAUGCCCUGGUAGUUCGAGCAUUUCGAAUAUGGUUCGGUAGAUCGAACAGUGAGAGUAGGAUCACUGUUGGCAAGUUUUGUGGGUCGAGUCGGAGUCUUGAAGAAGUCCGGAGCGGAGUAUUGAAGAUCGAAGAAUCCAAGACUUCGAAGAAUCAGAAAGGACGCAAAACACGUAAAACAUGAAUCGCGAUGCUUAGGUAAGCUUUAAAUCUUGUUUAUAGUGAUUCAUACUUAAUUAUAGAUUUUAGAAUCAUGUUUUCAAGUUGUAAUUGAUUAGAAAGUUUCUAAGAGCUUGUAAAACUCAAAACAAUGCAUUUUCAGCGAAAAUUGCAUUGUUGUACCGGUACAAGAGUUUUUUGUCCAGGGUACAGCCAUCAGCGUUUGCGCAGAAAAUUUUGAUGGUUGUUCCGGUACAACCAUCACAGCUGUCCAGGGUACAAGCCUUGUUUCGGUACAAGAUGUAGUCUGUCCAGGGUACAGAAGCUUCGCAGAAAAAUCUUCCGUCAUGUUGUACCCUGGACAGCUUUCCUUGUUCCGGUACAAGGUGCUGAUUUUGGAAAGAAACUUUCUAAUCCUACUCCGUUUUGAUUCUAAAGUCUAUAAAUAAACUAUAGGGGUUCUCUAACUGAUUAAGCAUCAUAGGAAUACAUAUUUGAGAAACCGUAGAGGCUCGGAUUUCAUUCUAAACCUAUUUUCUACAAAUUAGCCUCUUUUAGGUCAAAUCGAGAUAUUGAAUUUUCAUAUCUAUAUGUCGAUUUGAUCUCCGCUUCGCUUGGAGUUCUAUUCCCUGGUUUUCUACGAUACUCCUAAGCGAAGGAUCACCAUAAUCAUGAUGCUCUUCAUGAACGGCGUCGUGGAUUCGGCGUGAACAAAGGCGGUUCGUGGAUUCAGAUCGUUGGCUCGUGGAUUCGAGUGGCGUCGUGGAUUCGGCGUGAUUGAAGCUUCGUGGAUUCGAAGUGGAGGCGUUCGUGGAUUCGAACGUGAGGGCGUGGACAACCCGGAGGGUAGCGCGAAGAUUCAUAGGAGGUUAAGAGAGGUUGAGUCCGUGGAGUCGGUAAUCACCUUGUAAUCUUUUCUCUUAGUGAAUUAUUUUUUCGCGUGUUGGUCCCGUGGGUUUUUCUCCAAGUUGGAGUUUUCCCACGUAAAUCUCGGUGUGCUUUUUAUUUUCCGCAUUUAUUUUUAUUGCAUCGAGAUUUGUGGUUUUUGGCCGUUCACCUAUUCACCCCCCUCUAGGUGAUAGAUACAAUCUAGAUAGAUCCUUGGGCUCCUCAAAACUUUCAGAGGAGAGGCCACCCAAGCAUUUUCGAAGGCCAAGGGAGCUUGCCGGCGGCUGGGGUGCGCGCACUGCUAGGGCAUGGUGAUGCUGGUGGCUAGGGUUAGUUGGGGGAGCUAGGUCGGCUGGAUCUAGGGUUUUAUGCAAAGAAACACUAGUUGCAACUUAUAUACAAGUGGCAUUUUGCAUAAACGUCCCCCAAAGCUGAAUAUUUUCAUCCGAAUCCCUGCCCACGCGUGUAUUUUGUACGAAUGUACCCUCAUGUGCGAUUUCAUGCGAUUCAGCACAUAAAAUAUAAGGACUAUUGCGAAGUUUCCGAUUUGCUAUAAUCGACCCUUUUUCGAACAUCAUGCAAUAUCCGGCAAUCCGUUCAUCGGAUUUCCGAACGGAUUGCGCCAUUGUGUUCAGCAUGACGAGGGCAUCUAAACUACAAUUUCAUUUCAUUCGUUUCGGUCACGGAUUUGCGACAAAAUCAACCCUCUUGGUUCCACCAUAUAACACACACAUAUAUAUAUAUAUAUAUAUAUAACCAUAUAUAUAUAAUCCAAUGAAACCACUUUUUCUCGAAAACCGUGCAUCAGAUCAGAAAUCCGUCAGUGCCAUUGGUUCCCAAAUAGCUAAACCAUUCAAAACGAGCUAUUGAAUCGCUAUGAACGGAGUCUGAUACGCGCCGGAAGCCAACUCUAUUCCUUAGCUUCUCCGGAAAACCGGGUUACUAUUCACUUUAAGUGAAAACUAAUAAUCGCGUAACUUCUCCAUUCUAACUCGUUUUCUCCUGAAACUUGACGAGUGCUUAUGUAAUUAAAUUACAUACAAACACAUCGUCAACAGAGAGUUUAGCUACACUGCCAAAAUCUCAGUCCUUACAUUAUCCCCCCCCCUUAAAAGAAGUUCCGUCCUCGAAACUUGACCACGCACCCACCCGAAUGGAAUUCGGAUAAUAUUCCACCACUGCGGUAUCACCUUGAGUACUGGUCAGUCAUAAUUUUUUGAAUUUGGACAGAUUAACCUCUGAAGAAGGGGAGAAUAGAACUGUGGUUCCUCUCGAAUAAGACGAGGAAAAAUCAUACCAACCCAAAAUCUACGGACCAUAAUUCACCGGGAUCAACACCAUCCUAUAUCCUGUGGACAAAAACAAUCCCGCGACCGGGAUUAUCCGAUUCCAACUUGCCAAUUCUGAGAUAGUAAUUCAACACUCAGAAACUCUAGGUCCCCUCUACCUUGGUCCGUGAAGCCGUAACUGACUCGACUACGUCGCAAGUUCGUGUAGAAAAGUCAUGAGACACAACCACUAGUCUGGAGUCUAUUUACGUAGACUUAAACGAAAUACUCCGACUAGCCAACAACGUCAACCUGCUCACCAUGAGCGAAUACGAAACGUUGUUUUAAAACCCGAGUAAAAACACUCGCUUCAGAGACCACAGUCUCCCACCAGUAACCACACAAACUGCCAAAACCUCCAUCAACGGAUAGUCACCUGCGACAAUCUAUAGUCCUAGGUUCAAGACCUCACUUUUCACUUGACCAAAAGGUCCAACUAACAAUAUCGACUGAGCUAGACAAUUUGUCUCCUCAAACUUAAACUGGUACCAACAGACCACCAGAAGCUCUUUGCAAGUCCAUCCCUUGGUGCACAGGGUUGCCAAUCGCAGUAUACGAUAAUAACCAUCGGUGAUGCUCAACACCUGUCUCUACGAGACCCUGUCGCUGCCGUCCUGCAAGGGACCCUAGCGAUCGAUAUUCCUAGCAACAGUCAAAUACUUGUCUCAUUGAGACCCAGGCGCACCUGUCACCAAUUUGACUGGACAAGCAUACCAUUCCAAGGUUUGCACGUUAAGCCGAGUCGCAAACCUUAUAUGCUAUCACAUACGGUGACAAUCAAAGCCAACAACCAGGCUUAAGUCACUGAACAACUGUGAUUCCGAACCUGCCGGCAAACAAACCGAGACUACUAACUAGGCAAAUCUUUUAGCUGUGGAAAGCACAACUAAAGAGCUAUAAACACCCGGACUCGAACUAGAGUCAAAACCAUCUGCAGUGAUGAUAAAUCAACUACGCAAACCUGCCAAGGAAUAUCCAAGGUUCGCUACGUGGUCACUCACUCUAGCUUCCCACAAGACAAUCUAGAGAAAACACUGACCCAAUCGAAAAGUCUCAAAUAGGGAAAAGGUAUUUCGUCCCAUCUUUCGAUAGUGCAUUGUCUGCAGCCAAUGUACUUAUCAAUAGAAAAGCGAAAUAUCCGAAUAUCCACUACCAACAACAAGUUGGAAGCGUGACACAUCAAAGUAUCAAACUACCUGAUACUUCUUCACUGAACCAAAAGUUCACAACCAACCAUUGAAACAUCGACUUUGCAAGCCGACAUUCGAAAUGAGAUCGACCCUGAACGGACUCAUUGGGAGUCCCAUAGCUUUCAACACCCGAAAACUGCUCGCGACACUAAGUCGCGAACCGCAUAAACAGAGGCUUUAGGAAACGGUUUCUCUAACCGAUUUCCUGCGCUACAACCUCAUUAUACCCAAAACUUCGAGAACUCCGACAAUACCCUGGAGUGUCUCGAGUCAAAACGAAUCCUAUCACCAACCACAGACUAACCCACAACACACCAAUUUAGGUGUUAGAAUAACCGCAUACAAUGUGUGCAUCAACAGAGACCUGACACCAAAACUGUGUCUACCCGGUUCUAGUACACGUCAAUUUGACGUCAGAACUAGUUAAAGGUCAAAAGACCCAAGCCGCCGAUUCCAUUAGCAAACAAGAAGGAGGGAUAAGCACGACAACUUUACCCAACGUUCUACGAAAGCAACACUAACAUUGCAGUCAUCUAAACGACCGCUACCCAAAACCUUGGGCUACACUCUAGUAGCCCCACAGAAGUUGCGACCCUAACAGGUCAUAGUGUCGUCUCCGUAGAGACACUCGCAGUAGCUCUCGUAUCCUAAGUAGAAAGAGUGGCCCGAGCAUCGGCAGUUAAGAUACUCGCCUAGGCCUGAAGAUCUCACCUGGCCCUUCAAGUCCCUACCUGACAGGAGUGGCAACACCUAGGGAACGUCGCCCCACCACUCGAUGUCCGAAUAAGUACACCGCCACUACUCCCGACUUAGACACCAGCUUGUGCGAAAAUCGUAACACGUACUGAAACGACCAUGCACUUCGAGUUUACCAAACUCGAAUGCAUGCCGGGACACAAGCCCAAACCCCGCACUCACGUGCCUAUAUGCCGUAGGUCUUCCGAUAGGUCAACCUAACCAAUGGUUCAGUUUCAUAUACUUUUCAAAACAACCUAUGAAUGGUGUUGUGGUUGUAACUUGGCUCUGAUACCACUUUAUUCUGUCACGCCCCGAGGUCUCUUUUUGGUUAAAACAAAGCGGAAAAUUUUUUUUUUUUUGAAAACCUGACCCCCAGGGUAUGCCAGAUCCGCCACAAAUACAGGAAGUCCACUGUUCACACAGACAGAGUCUCCCCUGUAUUUGCACGGCGUCGCACAAGUACAAGUACAUAACCAGGAUACAACCACUACACUGAACAUACAAACAUUCAACAUCUAUAUAUCCAUACACCAUUCACCACAAGUUCACAUUCAGGAUUUAAACAUAAAAUCACAACUAUUAGUUAAAACGUUUCCAACCCGAAAACUUAUUUUGAAAUACUAAUUUAUGAAAACCACAAGAAAACCUUUUCAAAACCGUUUUCCACACGGAAAUCCUUUAUCUUUAAAACAUGCUACCACGAGGGGUAGAAAAUUAUUUUUCAUUUCAUAGAAAUCCAUAAGUCUUUAUUACGUUCAGAAAACCAACUGAAAUCUUGAAUAUUCAAACAUAAUGAAAUACUGAACCAUUUUAGCUGUCUAAGUUAUAUCAACAUAAAUAAGGGUAGAAACUAAACCGGAUAACCUGGGUCGGAAGCUCUAUUGACCGCUACGAACGUGUCUCACAUCUCGUCUCAACCCUCACCGUCCGCAAUACCUGAAAAUGGUGGGGGAGGUGAGAACAUGUGAACAUAUCUCCCCUCCCAAUGGGUACCGCAAGCCGACGAAGGCGAGGAGUACUCACCAGAUCAGGAAGAGAUAAACAAGGUAAUGAGCAGAUAUACUGAAUACAGUAGCAAUAAACUGAAAGGAAGUAGAACUAUAACAGAAUAAACGACUACCGCUACUGUAACUAGAACAGAAAGCAAACAUGGAUAUCCACUAUAGUAGCAAGACAAUUGUAAAGCAAGAACUGUAAUUAUGCAUGAAACAACUGCUACUAUAGACAUAUGCGUCAACCGAACAUGUAGACCAAAUAUACCGAAUCUGAAAUCUGCUGCUCUGUUGGUCUGCACCGGAACCUCAAGCCUGUGCCCUGGAGGUUCACACCGAAGACCUCCCGACAGUACCACUGCCGUUCUACCAUGCAUAUAACCCCUCUAGGGCUCACGGGUUUGAACCUACAACCACUUUUCCGGAAAAGAACACCCUCUUGCGGUGGAUCAGACCGCUGGUGUUCGUGAAAUGCGAACGAGUCUCGGGCGAUCAAUGCUGAUAUGCUCAAAGGCCAACCGUCGGCAACCAGCCGACAAUCACUACUCCUCGGGGCAAACCGACCAAUAGGUCAUCGAUUGUAAGGAAGCACAAGAACUGACCACUCAGGUCAACUGGGAUGGAACAACUCAACAUCCUCUCAAAAGUAUGCAAAUACUGCUCGAUGGGUCAACUAAAGUGUAAAUGCAAGAACCGACCAAUAGGUCACAAGAGUGUAUCAAUCUAAUCCAGAACUACCGUCAGCCACUAGCCAACAAUCCUACCCCUCAGGGUACACUGACCUCAUAGGUCAUCAAACGACAAGAGUCACGAACUGACUGACUAGAUCACAU